UAACAUCAAUCCAGUUAUGGUUCCUGGGGUCGUCAUUCUGACUCGGGAUUAAAAGGGAACACGGUGAGGUACGAGACAUCUCGACUAAUUCCGUGACUGUCCCCGCAACUGUAAACGCAUAGGCACGUCAAUAGACCACUGGGUUCGAUCCGUUCGAGUGAUCGAUGCCUGGGAAGGUUGACGAAGCUGUUGACGCGUGAGUCAGGAGACCUGCCAUACAGAUUCCAACCAC
rnacentral:ncRNA from 2 species